GCUAUUAAAGGACCACAAUGCUGCACAGUGUCAGUGCAAGAUCUCAAUAACACUGCUCUGCCAUUGUGCCACAUUGCAAAAUCUUAUUUACAACCACCUAUCUGCGACAAUGGACUUCAUUGGAACUGGAACCCUUGUUCUGGUUCUCUGUAUCACCUGCCUCAUAUUCCUCUUCAUGUAUAUUGAGGACAAUAAGUGGAAGGACAUGCCGCCUGGACCUACUCCGCUUCCUCUCCUGGGAAACAUCCUACAGGUGAACAUGAAAGAGUUGCCUAAGUCAUUAGUAAAGGUGAUGGAGGAUAUGGCUGUUUCUCUUGGCUUCUAACUCCAUUGUCCCGACCUGAUACCCCUGCUGAACACAAUUGCAAUCAUGCACAUAAGUCCACGCGGAAUGUGAUAGAAAGAUGUUUUGGUGUGCUGAAAUCUAGGUUUCGGUGUCUGGAUAAGUCUGGUGGCCUUUUGUUGUAUAGUCCCUCCAAGGUGACUCAAAUUGUGUUCUGCUGCUGCUUUCUUCAUAACAUGUGUUUGCAACAACAUCUGCCACAUGUUGAGGAGGAGGAAGAAAGCAGCCAGCAAGCAGAGGAAUUAGAGACAUCUGGUGAUACUUGGAGUACAGAUGUAGGGAGGCAGGUUAGGCAAGAGCUCAUCACUCGCUUUUUUUAAGCAUCUUUCAAACAAUGUCAUACUGUAUGGCUCAAGUGGACAUACAUAUCUUUACUGGAUGUGGACAAGGCCAUUUAGCUUGGAUUCCAUUUCAGGUUUUACUUACUGCGUUUGAUACUCACAAUCAAGAUGAGGGGAGUGUCGAUGACGUCUCGGAGGUGUGUCCAAAAUUUGGAGUGGUGGGACAGAACAUACGGACGAUAAUCUUCGUGGCGGGGUAGCCUGCUGUGGUUGGCCCGGGACAUACGACCUUGCUUUCUUUUCGGCCACAGGUUUUUUGUGGUGAUGUCUUACAGAAGUGCCACUUCUGCUGCUCCAUACUUCUUUUGAUAGACCUUUUAAUGAAAGUGCAAUUUUGUUAUGGCCAUUCCUUUACAAACAUACCCUAUACUACAAUGGACACUUUACCUGCUUCCGCAGCAUCAUCAUCAUCAGAUGUGAUAGGAGUUACUGGCCGACGAGUAGUACUGCUUUUUUCAAACACUGUAUAAAAAAAUAUUCAUGCUAUUGUUGAUACA